AUGCUGGUGGACAUCCUGAAGCAGAACAGCGUGAACGUGGAGGGCUGCCUCUUCGACCAGCACGCGCGCACGGCCCUGGCCUUUGUCACCCUCAAGUCCAACGGCGAGCGUGAGUUCAUGUUCUACCGCAACCCGUCGGCCGACAUGCUCCUCACCGAAGCCGAGCUCAACCUGGACCUCAUCCGCCGAGCUCGCAUCUUCCACUACGGCUCCAUCUCGCUCAUCACUGAGCCCUGCCGCUCCGCACACAUCGCCGCCAUGCGCGCCGCCAAGUCAGCCGGCAUCCUCUGUUCCUACGACCCCAACGUGCGCCUCCCGCUCUGGCCCUCCGCCCAGGCCGCACGUGACGGCAUCAUGAGCAUUUGGAAGGAGGCCGACUUCAUCAAGGUGAGCGACGAGGAGGUGGCCUUCCUCACGCAGGGCGACGCCCACGACGAGAAGAACGUCCUCUCGCUCUGGUUCGACGGCCUCAAGCUGCUGGUCGUCACCGACGGCGAGAAGGGAUGUAGGUACUUCACCAAGGACUUCAAGGGCUCCCUGCCAGGGUACUCCGUUAACACCGUCGACACCACCGGCGCCGGCGAUGCCUUUGUUGGAUCCCUCCUACUCAACGUCGCCAAGGACGACUCCAUCUUCUACAAUGAGGCCAAGCUGAGGGAGGUGCUCCAGUUCUCCAACGCUUGCGGGGCCAUCUGCACCACCAAGAAGGGAGCCAUCCCGGCGCUGCCCACCACUGCCACCGCCCUUGAGCUCAUCAGCAAGGACACCAACUAG
rnacentral:rRNA from 1 species